GUGGAGGCGGUUAUGGAAAAUUAGUCCAAAAGGAAUUGGAAGCACGAAGGCAGCUAGUGGAUUAUGGUACUGGUAUACCUUACCUCAUUGGGUAUUAAAGUAGCGGGUCGAGGAUCUUACUGGGUUAUAUUUAUAUAUAGCUCACUCACUUGCAUGUCUGCCAAUACUGUUGCGAAGGAGAGACUAGUGGUUAACGGUUCGUUCGUGAAGAUUUUGUUGCUAAGGUGAGCCUUCACAUUGUUCGUGGAGGUUGUCGUUUUAGCUCUAUCUAUUUUUAGUCUUAUCUCUUUAAUGGGUUUGCAUGCCCAAAAUUUAAACUCAUGUAACUCUUUUUAGAUGCUUCAUGGUCUUAGCGUGGGAUUUAGGCUAAAGAAUUAGUUUUUGAGUGAUUGAUGAAUUAUUAGUUUGAUUAUAAUUUUUUGUUGGAUUACUAUUCGCUCUUUAUUGACGCA